rnacentral:lncRNA from 1 species
UGCACCAAUACCUCCAAACAACCCUCCUUAUCAUAACAUGUCUCCAAAAUAGCCUCUGGCUCCAACGUAAACUCAUCAUCAGGAGACAAUAACUUUGGCAACGUAGUAACCUGAUGAUUGGCUCCCAAAAACGGUUUCAAUUGUGACACAUGAAAAACCGGAUGAAUCUUGGAAUACGGAGGCAAUUGAAGCUUAUAUGCCACUUUCCCAAUUUUCUCCAAUAUCUCAAAUGGACCAUAGUAUUUGGCCGCAAUUUUUGCCAAAAACGUUUAGUUACCGAAGUCUGUUGGUAAGGUCGAAGCUUCAAAAAUACCAUAUC